UGGGGAAUAUUGCACAAUGGGCGAAAGCCUGAUGCAGCAACGCCGCGUGAGUGAUGAAGGUCUUCGGAUUGUAAAGCUCUGUCUUUUGGGACGAUAAUGACGGUACCAAAGGAGGAAGCCACGGCUAACUACGUGCCAGCAGCCGCGGUAAUACGUAGGUGGCGAGCGUUGUCCGGAUUUACUGGGCGUAAAGGGUGCGUAGGCGGAUGUUUAAGUGAGAUGUGAAAUACCCGGGCUUAACUUGGGUGCUGCAUUUCAAACUGGAUAUCUAGAGUGCAGGAGAGGAGAAUGGAAUUCCUAGUGUAGCGGUGAAAUGCGUAGAGAUUAGGAAGAACGCCAGUGGCGAAGGCGAUUCUCUGGACUGUAACUGACGCUGAGGCACGAAAGCGUGGGUAGCAAACAGGAUUAGAUACCCUGGUAGUCCACGCCGUAAACGAUGAGUACUAGGUGUAGGAGGUAUCGACCCCUUCUGUGCCGCAGUAAACACAUUAAGUACUCCGCCUGGGAAGUACGAUCGCAAGAUUAAAACUCUAAAGUGAAUUGACGGGGUC
rnacentral:rRNA from 1 species